rnacentral:rRNA from 1 species
UACGGAGGGUGCAAGCGUUGUCCGGAUUCAUUGGGCGUAAAGGGUGCGUAGGCGGCUUCCUAAGUUUGAUGUGAAAUCCUGGGGCUCAACCCUGGAACUGCAUUGAAUACUGGGAGGCUAGAGUACUGGAGAGGAAACUGGAAUUUACGGUGUAGCAGUGAAAUGCGUAGAGAUCGUAAGGAAGACCAGUGGCGAAGGCGAGUUUCUGGACAGUUACUGACGCUGAGGCACGAAGGCCAGGGGAGCAAACGGG